GGGGGGUCUUCUCUGCAGCAACCCCUCCCUCUUUCGUCCUCCCAUGCUCUUUCUUCCUCUUUCCCCUUACUCAUCUGUUUCUGCCGCUGCACCGAGAGCAAGGACACCUGCCGCUCCCUGAUGAUUCAGCUGUUUCAGCGGCUCCCAGCGUUUUUGAGGGCGUUUUUCGUCCCCCGGCCACUGCAGUGCGUGGUCGCCCCGUCCUUGACGUGGAUACAGUUGUUGCAGCAGCAGCCGGUCCGUCCCGUCAUCCACGCCUCCUCCUCCUCCUCCUCUUCCUCUGCCAAAGUGUUCAGAUAAUUUGGCGUCGGUAUUCUCCUGGGGAUUUGGUUUCUCGGGAAAAGAAAAAUAAUUUGGCGUCUCCUGGGGAUUUGGUUUCUCGUGAAAAGAAAAGUAAUUUCCUUUGUGCACAGGCCGUCGUCGUCAAGCUCGGACUCUCUCAAGAGCUAAAUCUUACUUCCUUUUUGAAAUACCUGCUCUGAAAAAUCGCUGCAGCUUCGGCCUCGCGAUGGAAAAUGCGC